UACAGGGGGGGGCAAGCGUUGUUCGGAAUUACUGGGCGUAAAGGGCUCGUAGGUGGCCAACUAAGUCAGACGUGAAAUCCCUCAGCUUAACCGGGGAACUGCGUCUGAUACUGGAUGGCUUGAGGUUGGGAGAGGGAUGCGGAAUUCCAGGUGUAGCGGUGAAAUGCGUAGAUAUCAGGAAGAACACCCGUGGCUAAGGCGGCUCUCUAGUACGGUACUGACGCUGAGACGCGAAAGCGUGGGGAGCGAACAGG
rnacentral:rRNA from 1 species